UCAGGCCUAACACAUGCAAGUCGAACGAAGCCUUCGGGCUUAGUGGCGCACGGGUGCGUAACGCGUGGGAAUCUACCCUGGGGUUCGGAAUAACACAGAGAAAUUUGUGCUAAUACCGGAUGAUAUCGAGAGAUCAAAGAUUUAUCGCCCUUGGAUGAGCCCGCGUAGGAUUAGCUUGUUGGUGGGGUAAUGGCCUACCAAGGCGACGAUCCUUAGCUGGUCUGAGAGGAUGAUCAGCCACACUGGGACUGAGACACGGCCCAGACUCCUACGGGAGGCAGCAGUGGGGAAUAUUAGAGAAUGGGCGCAAGCCUGAUCCAGCAAUGCCGCGUAUAAAGAGAGGCCUUAGGGUUGUAAAGCUCUUUACCAGGGAUGAUA
rnacentral:rRNA from 1 species